rnacentral:misc_RNA from 1 species
CUUUCAUGUUCUCUUGAAUCUGAUACUCUUUGGUGGCACCAGUAAUAACAGAUGAGACAUUAGGAUUUGCAGCACACCAGGCAAUUGCCAGUUGAGGCAGAGGUACACCUAGUUCCUCAGCAAUUGGUUUCAAUCCAUUUACUUUCCUCAGCACAUCAUCCACCAAGGAUCUGCUGGCAAGAUUCUUGUAAUUUUCCAGUGCAAAUCGACUGUCUGGUGGAAUGUUCCCUGAGGUAUAUUUUCCAGUCAGAACGCCUGAAGCGAGAGGACUCCAUGUGGUAAGACCAAUUCCAUAGUUGCUAUAGAGAGGGAGGUACUCAGAUUCAACCUUAUGCCUAGACAACAAGUUAUACUCAGGCUGCUCAACAAUGGGACCAACAAGAUCCAAUCUUUGAGCAACCCCCCAUGCUUCAGUAAUCUGCUGAGCUGACCAUUCACUUGUACCCCAAUAAAAAGCCCACCCUUUAUCAAUCACAUAGUUCAUAGCCCUAACAGUUUCUUCAAUAGGUGUACUUGUAUCAGGCCUAUGACAAUAGAUCAGAUCUACAUAAUCCAUAUCAAGUCUCUUCAAUGAAGCUUUUGUUCCUUCAAUUAUAUGUUUUCUUGAAAGCCCUUUAUCAUUUGGACCAGAACCACCCCAAAAUAUCUUUGUUGACACAACAAUGUCCGAUCUUUUCCACCCAAGUUCACGAAUCGCUUGACCCAUGAUUUCUUCUGCUCUGCCAUUAGCAUAAACCUCAGCAUUAUCAAAGAAAUUGACACCAUGGUCACGACAACACUGUAAAAGGGUUUUUGCUUCUUUAACAUCAAGUUGAUUUCCAAAGGUAACCCAUGCUCCAUAAGAGAGCUGUGAUACCUUUAGACCUGAUCUGCCUAAAUUCUUGUAUUGCAUUUGCAUUUUUUGAGGGAGAUCAAGAAUCAAG